GAAAAAAAACUUUUUACAGAACUCUCGGCAAGGAUACAUAAGUGUAUGACUGGGCCAGACUGGAAUUGUACCUCAUACGAUUUCAUGUGACAAAUUAAAUUGAUUGAAAAGAAAAGGAAGAUUAAAUAGCUGUUAAAACAGUGAGGCUUUUGCAAGAUAUCUCCACCUGUCUGUUUGUCGUCAAGAAGAAAUCAUCUUUCAUCCAACAUGAAGUAUCUUGUCCUGGGGCUGUUUUUCCUGACUCUGCUGAGAUUCAUCUGUGCACAGACUUCACCAUCAAGUAGUACCACCACAGAGAUGCCAUACAAUAACACCUCCAAUACAACCUGGCCAUCCAAUUAUACCACCACUGACAACAACAACAAUCCCACUGGUUCCAGACCCACUGGAUCCAAACCCACAGGAUCCAACCCCACAAGCUCCAACCCCACAGUAUCCAAGCCCACAGGCUCCAACCCAACAGUAUCCAACCUCACAGGCUCCAACCCCACAGGCUCCAACCCCACAGGAUCCAACCCCACAGGAUCCAACCCCACAGGCUCCAACCCCACAGACUCUAACCCCACAGGAUCCAACCCCACAGGCUCCAACCCCACAGGAUCCAACCCCAUCAGUAGCCAGACCCCCACGAUGGUGACCAAAUCCACAUUGAUGACGACCAAAGUGAGCAUGACUACAAAGAAUGGACAGAGCCACAUCUUCACCUCUGUCAGUCUGCUGUUUGGAUCACUUGUUCUUCGAGCACUUUGGUAAUAGAGGACAUACAUGAGUUGUAUGUGUUAAACUAAAUUGUGGUUUAUUAAAUUAGGAAACGAUUAGCGAGAGACCCAGUGACAGAGCCAGCUAUUAAUUAACAUUCAGAUAACAACUUUGACAGAUUCUCAAUCAGAUUCUUUGAAGGAUGAAGCCGAUGCCUAUGAAUCCUAAUGAGUUAAAGCAUGUUUGUUUGCAUUUUAAGAGAUUACUGCUGCCUGAUCUGUAUUGGAGUUUAGCAUAUCCUAAGUCAAAUUUACCCUUUGUGCAUACUGUAGGCUUAUUAUUUGUCCUGCGUGAAUAUAUUUUUAUUUAAUCAAAUUGAAAUACUUAUUUUUUUUUUGUCUGACCCCCUCGAAAACGAG